UGACACACCCCUGGAGAGACUCAUUAAAUUGAGCAUCGAAGAAGAAACUCAGUAGGGAUAUAAUCCUCUGAGGAAACUUUCAGAUAAAAGGACAGGGAGCAAAUA
rnacentral:ncRNA from 2 species